UUGCCUGACCUGAACCCGAGAGGGUUCGAGAGACCCCCCCCCCCGGGGGGGGGAGAGGAGGACGGGAAGGAGGUGAUCGGAGAAGUUUUAGGCGUAUGCAGUUUUAGAAACUGAUUUAGAGAUUUGGUGACUGGGAAAAAUUUCCAGACUUGCUGUUAAAUGGCGUGAUAUGUAGCAGAGGAAAGGAGAUAAGUAAAGCCUAAAGUGAAGAUAUAUAGGAAUAUUUUUGGAGGAUUUGAUAUUUGCCCAAGUCCGUUAAGAGAGGAGCCAAGAAGGAAGCAAGGGGAAGGUAGUAUAGAAGAAAGAGCAAAAGAGCAAAAGCAAGUACUUUUAAGGGCAAGGGAGGUAUGAUUGGUGGAGCUUGAAAGUGGAGGAGGCUGGAGAAUCUAUUAUGUAUUUUGUUUAAAUAUGCUUAUUAUAUUUUGCUAUUCUAGAUUGAAGAUAUAAAUGUGUAUGUAUAUGUAUAUAUAUUUUGUUAUGUAAGUCCAUAAGGAGGUGGAUAAGGGCAGAUAAACUACAAGUAACUGCCAAUGAUAUAAAUAGUCUGUGUGCUGAUAUUUGUUAUUAUUAUGCCCAGGAUUGUGUGUAUGAAUAUAUGUACUCUUUUAAUGGGCCAGUGAUCAGGGUAUGGAAUGCUAGGCCCUACGAUCGAUAAUUGACUUAAUACAGGUCCUAAUGGUUGGAUGGAAAA